rnacentral:rRNA from 1 species
CAGCCGUAAACUAUGCGCGUUAGGUGUAUCGGUGACCACGAGUUACCGAGGUGCCGAAGGGAAACCGUGAAACGUGCCGCCUGGGAAGUACGGUCGCAAGGCUGAAACUUAAAGGAAUUGGCGGGGGAGCACCAUAACAGGUGGAGCCUGCGGUUUAAUUGGACUCAACGCCGGGAAGCUCACCGGAUAGGACAGCAGAAUGAUUGCCGGGCUGAAGACCCUGCAUGACUAGCUGAGAGGAGGUGCAUGGCGUCAGUGACU